UUAUAGUCAUUCGACUUUGGAUUUCAGACAGCUUUUUUCAAAAAAGGGUUUUUGAGGGUGCCGUCGGCGGACUGACCCUCCCCCGCAAUGGGAGGAAGAGCCGCCGAAGCAACAGGGGGUUUUCACAAAGGGUAGUCCUUUGGCGCGCGGGGGUUUAGGCCUCGCGCCGCGGGGCGGCCUUGCGGCCGGUUUUAUUGUAAUGAUCCUUCCGCAGGUUCACCUACGGAAA
rnacentral:misc_RNA from 1 species